rnacentral:rRNA from 1 species
UACGAAGGGGGGCUAGCGUUGUUCGGAUUUACUGGGCGUAAAGCGCACGUAGGCGGUUUGUUAAGUGAGAGGUGAAAUCCCAGAGCUCAACUCUGGAACUGCCUUUCAUACUGGCAAGCUAGAGUCCGGAAGAGGUAAGUGGAACUCCUAGUGUAGAGGUGGAAUUCGUAGAUAUUAGGAAGAACACCAGUGGCGAAGGCGGUUCUCUGGGACGGUACUGACGCUGAGACGCGAAAGCGUGGGGAGCGAACAGG